UACGUAGGGUGCGAGCGUUGUCCGGAAUUAUUGGGCGUAAAGAGCUCGUAGGCGGUUUGUCGCGUCUGCCGUGAAAGUCCGGGGCUCAACUCCGGAUCUGCGGUGGGUACGGGCAGACUAGAGUGAUGUAGGGGAGACUGGAAUUCCGUGGUGUAGCGGUGAAAUGCGCAGAUAUCAGGAGGAACACCAAUGGCGAAGGCAGCUCGCUGGGACGGUACUGACGCUGAGACGCGAAAGCGUGGGGAGCAAACAGG
rnacentral:rRNA from 1 species